CCUACGGGAGGCAGCAGUGAGGAAUAUUGGUCAAUGGACGAGAGUCUGAACCAGCCAAGUAGCGUGAAGGAUGACUGCCCUAUGGGUUGUAAACUUCUUUUAUCUGGGAAUAAAGUGAGGAACGUGUUCCUUUUUGUAUGUACCAUAUGAAUAAGCAUCGGCUAACUCCGUGCCAGCAGCCGCGGUAAUACGGAGGAUGCGAGCGUUAUCCGGAUUUAUUGGGUUUAAAGGGUGCGUAGGUGGUUAAUUAAGUCAGCGGUGAAAGUUUGUGGCUCAACCAUAAAAUUGCCGUUGAAACUGGUUGACUUGAGUAUAUUUGAGGUAGGCGGAAUGCGUGGUGUAGCGGUGAAAUGCAUAGAUAUCACGCAGAACUCCGAUUGCGAAGGCAGCUUACUAAACUACAACUGACACUGAAGCACGAAAGCGUGGGGAUCAAACAGGAUUAGAUACCCCUGUAGUC
rnacentral:rRNA from 1 species